rnacentral:misc_RNA from 1 species
GGUUUCAAAAAAAAAUUCCCAAUCCAAUCGGUAAAACCCUAAUUCGCAGAGAGGGAAAAAAUGGGAGGAAAGUGUCCUCACAGGAGCGUGAAGAAGCGUAGAUACUCUCACAAGCAGUUUCGCCGUGCGAAAUUCCUUGUCAAAGGAGACGAUGCUGUUUACGAUGAGCUGUUAAAGCCGGAGGAGCAACGGAAAGAGUUGCCCGUCGACGAAGAUCUUCCCGGAAUGGGUCAAUACUACUGUAUGCACUGCGAUCGAUAUUUUGCAAAUGUUACUGUGAGGGAUGAGCAUUUCAAG